UCAGAUCUGACUUUGUCGAAUUAAACCAGGAGCUUGGAAACAAAUUUUUGAAUGAAACCAAUUGGGGGGUACUUAGCUUGUGCCAUGGUGAUACCGAGAGAGGCAAUUGCUAAGUUGUGAUACUCUCAUACCUUUACUAGAUUGCGAACGAUUCCGGAGAAGAUGAAGAAGUGGAUCGGACAAGGAUUUUAUUUAUAUUGUUGGGAUUCUUACAUUGAUGGAGUUGAAGAAGUACAGGGACAAAUAAGCCAAGGCAAGCCAUCUUUUGAUCUCUGAUUCGGUGUCUAGUUGGAUGUCAUUUGUUGAUAUCCAAAGCACCUUGAUUCUAUGUGUGUUGUUCUCUUUAUUAUUGUCAUCUAUGUAUGGUUGCUAGUGGGGUACUCCCUAGU